GUUCCAGUGGCUAAGUGGUUAUAUCAUCUGCCUCAGAUGCAGGAGGUUGUGGGUUCGAACCCAAGGCUGAAUAAUACA